AAACGAGGGAAUUCCGAAAAAUUGUUUUUAUUCAAAUUACCGCGCCUCGUUUCUUGGUAUUAAUGCCGUUUUAGUGGCAAGUACUUUCCUGGAUUAUCCAUUAAUUUGUAUUUGUGGGGGAAACAGUUUUGGUAUAUAAAAAGGUCCCCAGGAAAAACAUAUUUAUAAUUCAUUCUUCACAGCAAGUAGUAACAGAAAUCAUCAGUUAUCCUUCUUUAUAACAGAAAACCAUCACAAUGAAAUUGUUCAAUAUCUUGUUGAUCGCAAUUUUCGUCCUUCUUGGAUUUGGAUCUGCGAACGCUUGCAUAAAAAAGGGUAAGAGAUGCCAGCCUAAUGGUAGCUUAGGGCGCUGCUGUUCCGGAUAUUGUCAUAAGCAGGGUGGUUGGAAAAAUGGAUAUUGUAAAUAAUUUCUUCAAUUGCAAUAUUUCACUGAGGCAUUUACUUAGUUAUAAGCAUGCUGAGCCAUUAUAAGAUAAAUUUAAAUAAAUCGCAAAUAAUAUACUCCAAUUUUAAGUAAC